rnacentral:rRNA from 1 species
GACGUAGGGCGCGAGCGUUGUCCGGAUUUAUUGGGCGUAAAGAGCUCGUAGGCGGCUCGUUGCGUCGGCUGUGAAAACCCGCAGCUCAACUGUGGGCUUGCAGCCGAUACGGGCGGGCUUGAGUUCGGUAGGGGAGACUGGAAUUCCUGGUGUAGCGGUGAAAUGCGGCAGAUAUCAGGAGGAACACCGGUGGGCGAAGGC